AUUGAACGCUGGCGGCAGGCCUAACACAUGCAAGUCGAGCGAGCGGCGGACGGGUGAGGAAUGUAUGGGGACUGCCCGUUAGAGGGGGAUAACUACUGGAAACGGUAGCUAAUACCGCAUACUAUCGGAUAACCCAUAUGGGAUUAGCUAGUAGGUGAGGUAAUGGCCUACCUAGGCGACGAUCCCUAGCUGGUCUGAGAGGAUGAUCAGUCACCCGGGGACGGAGACACGGCCCAGACUCCUACGGAGGCAGCAGUGGGGAAUAUUGGACAAUGGGCGCAAGCCUGAUCCAGCCAUGCCGCGUGUGUGAAGAAGGGCUUCGGAUUGUAAAGCACUUUAAGUUGGGAGGCGUUACCAACAGAAUAAGCACCGGCUAACUUCGUGCCAGCAGCCGCGGUAAUUC
rnacentral:rRNA from 1 species